AGGGAGAGAGAGAAGGGAGCACGCAUGUACAUACAUAUACAGCGAUGGUAUGUUGGUCGUCGUUCCUGCCCCAUAGAAAGCAAGGGAUGGAUGCUGUAAGCCCCGCUAGCGGCGAAAAAGCCUUUGCAAGCACACACACACCCCUCCAAAUUCAUACUACCCAGUGGACAAAAACUUCGGCAACGCGCAAGCCCCUAAUACAUUUCCUGGCCUCUGUGCCACGCCAAGAACACUGUCGUGCGACCUUGUCCGCAAGAAAGAUGGUGCCAAGAGCUACGAAUCCAUUGGUCGAACGCUUCCUCGCUGGACAUCUAAAGCUCUGAGAUCUGUACAGAAUAGUAGUAGUAAGUAAAUCCCGCUCUUCCAGCAAACUCUGUUCAAAGCUGUCCCG